AAAUUGAAGAGUUUGAUCAUGGCUCAGAUUGAACGCUGGCGGCAGGCCUAACACAUGCAAGUCGAACGGUAGCACAGAGAGCUUGCUCUCGGGUGACGAGUGGCGGACGGGUGAGUAAUGUCUGGGAAACUACCUGAUGGAGGGGGAUAACUACUGGAAACGGUGGCUAAUACCGCAUAACGUCGCAAGACCAAAGAGGGGGACCUUCGGGCCUCUUGCCAUCAGAUGUGCCCAGAUGGGAUUAGCUUGUUGGUGAGGUAACGGCUCACCAAGGCGACGAUCCCUAGCUGGUCUGAGAGGAUGACCAGCCACACUGGAACUGAGACACGGUCCAGACUCCUACGGGAGGCAGCAGUGGGGAAUAUUGCACAAUGGGCGCAAGCCUGAUGCAGCCAUGCCGCGUGUAUGAAGAAGGCCUUCGGGUUGUAAAGUACUUUCAGCGGGGAGGAAGGUGUUGUGGUUAAUAACCGCAGCAAUUGACGUUACCC
rnacentral:rRNA from 2 species